rnacentral:rRNA from 1 species
GACGAACGCUGGCGGCGCGCCUAACACAUGCAAGUCGAACGGUGAAGAGGAGCUUGCUCCUCGGAACAGUGGCGGACGGGUGAGUAACACGUGAGCAACCUGGCUCUAAGAGGGGGACAACAGUUGGAAACGACUGCUAAUACCGCAUGACGUAUCGGGAUGGCAUCUUCCUGAUACCAAAGAUUUUAUCGCUUAGAGAUGGGCUCGCGUCUGAUUAGAUAGUUGGCGGGGUAACGGCCCACCAAGUCGACGAUCAGUAGCCGGACUGAGAGGUUGAACGGCCACAUUGGGACUGAGACACGGCCCAGACUCCUACGGGAGGCAGCAGUGGGGGAUAUUGGACAAUGGGGGCAACCCUGAUCCAGCGACGCCGCGUGAGGGAAGAAGGUUUUCGGAUUGUAAACCUCUGUUGACGGAGAAAAAAUGAUGGUAUCCGUUUAGAAAGCCACGGCUAACUACGUG